rnacentral:sRNA from 1 species
CGUAUGAUCUCAAGGCCUGCAAGACUGUGGGAUGUGGUCAGAGUUGAUUCCUGUGAAGCCGUGCAGCAUGUGGGUUCAGCACUUGGGCUUUGUUAUCAGAAAAACUUAAGGCCAAAUCCUAGCUGCUCUAUUCACCAGCUGUAUCUUCAAGUGUCAGCCUUGCCUUUUCUGAGCCUGUUAGCUCAUCUCUCAAGAAGGAAUGGCACUGUAGUACCUCCCUUGCCUGGUGUGUGUCCUUAAAUGGGUCACAUAACCUCUCCUCUUUUCUCAUCUCUCAGUAGGUGGUGGUCUCUGUCCCUUUCACCUCUCAGAAAUGGGCAGCCAUGGCAGGGGGGUGGGGCAGGGCAGUGAGAAUGCUCAUGUAUGGAUCUUUGGAUGUUCCCUGUGAGUGUAAACUCUUGGUCUGUUUCUCCCUCGUAUGCUAUAAGGAGAAGCUAAGGCAAGCAUGCAUGGCCUUUGGCCUGUGUGAAAUUAGAAAGUAAAAAGAUCUCAGGCCAUGCUUCUCCCCCAGUUGCCAGGAGAGACUUCAGGAUUGUUGAUGGUAGUACAUGAAUCCAGUCUCAGCUCCAUGUUCUUAGUGCUGCUGCAGGAAUGAUUUGACUUUUCUUUGCCCCAGAGCCUACUGCUUCCAUCUCUCACAUUUCACUCCCACCGCUCUGCUUUCCCUAGAGUCCUGUCUAUCUCCCCCCAUACUUACCUCAGGACUGUCAUUUAUCCUCAGACAUCCCUCUGCUCCCACAAGCCCUGGGUACAAGUCAUUGAGCCGUUGGGAUUGGGUUCACUUCAGCUGCCUCUGACAGAUUUCCAGGGAGGGACUGUCCAGGGAUUGGUUUCUUGAGGGCAGAUUUGGAGCAAGAUUAGUAGGCAUGGCUGGUCUUAGUAUUUAGGUGUAUGGGAAUGUGAGGGCUCUUCUCAUGUAAGUCUGUGACCCCUAGAGAGGGCCCUCCAGGGACCCAUCGGGGGAACACCAUGUGAGUACCUGAACUUUGAGUCCAGAGUCCAUGGGCCUCUUCUAUUAAAGGCCCUUGGGGAUGUCACACAGCCUCAUGUGGAGUCAUGCUUUGAUAAGCCUGAGUUGUGCGCACUUGUUUCCCUUCUUGACUUGUAAUUUCAGGGUAAGGAAAGAAGAGGGGCUUUCAUCUGUGAUCAGAGCCUACAGAGGCCAAGAGAGGAAUGGGGAAUAGAAUCAGAACACAGAUCUUUCUGGAAAAGCCAGCACCCUUUCAGCUGUUUACCUGGGAACCACAGUGACUGAAGAUGUAGCUAAAGCCCUAGAGGUUUCCAGUGGGGAACCCUGGCCUCAACCCAGCAGACAGUGGGUUCUUCCAGGGCAAUAGCUUCCUCCUAAGAUGCGUCAUGUCUAGGCCUCAAGGCUGGGGCCUUUUUUUUCUUUUUUUUUUUUUUUAGACACAGUCUCACUCUGUUGCCCAGGCUGGAGUGCAGUGGUGCAAUCUGGCUCACUGUGACCUCUGCCUCCCGGGAUCAAGCGAUUCUCCUGCCUUCAGCCUCCCAAGUAGCUGGGAUUACAGGCAUAUGCCACCAUGUCCAGUGAAUUUUUAUAUUUUCAGUAGAGACAGGGUUUUGCCAUGUUGGCCAAGCUAGUCUCGAACUCCUGACCUGCCUCGGCCUCCCAAAGUGCUGGGAUUACAGGCGUGAGCCACCACGCCCGGCCAAGGCUGAGGACUUUCAACAGCUGCAGCGUGCUGCCAGAUUUCAGGGGCCUCCGUACUGUUAGGUAUAAGACUUCAUGCCUCAGCUUGCUCUUCCUGAGGAGUGGAAGCAGAGAGCUGUUGGGGCAAAUUCCCUCCUGCUUAGCUACCCUCCUUCCCAGUGAUCGCAAAGAUAGUUAUUUUCACAACAGGUCAGGUCAGGCCAGGCACAGUUGCUCACGCCUGUAAUCCCAGUACUGUGGGAGGCCAAGGCAGGCGGAUCAGUUGAGUCCAGGAGUUUGAGACCAGCCUGGGCAACAUGGUAAAACCCCAUCAUGGUGGCAUGUGCCUGUAGUCCCAGCUACUUGAGGGGCUGAGAUGGGAGGAUGGCUUGUGCCUGGGAGGUUGAGGCUACAGUGAGCGCUGAUUGUGUCACUGCAUUCCAGCCUGGGCAAUAGAGUGAGACCUUGUCUCAAGAAAAAAAAGAAAAAAGGUUAGUGUCCCAGUAAAAGCUCCUGCUCUAGGUGGGAACAGUAGCCUGAGGGCUUAGAGGAAUGGUUUAACGGAAAACAGGGCCAGAUAUUUGGGGCCUGAACCACAAGGAUAGCAUGGCCGUAGGACAGACACUGGCCUUGUACAGUCAGAAGAAGCACAAGGACAGGUGGUAUGGAGGGAGGAUGAGGAUACUGGGUCCUGUCCCAGGGUAAUGUCUUUGUUCUUCCUUUUUCCCUCCCCAUAGGCUUGCAGCCCUGAGUGAUCGAGAGACUCGGCUGCAGGAGGUGCGCUCAGCCUUCUUGGCUGCGUACAGCAGCACAGUGGGGCUUCGGGCAGUAGCCCCCAGUCCUUCCGGUGCCAUCGGGGGCCUGCUGGAGCAAUUUGCCCGUGGUGUUGGACUCCGGGGCAUCAGCAGCAAUGCCUUGUGAAGAAGCCAGCCCAUGACAUUUUCCUGCUCCUCUCUCAGCUGAGCCCUUAGCAGAAUCAAAGCCAUGCCUGGCCAAAGGGGUACUUCCAGGUCAGGGGAAAUUUCAGUCCCCCAUCUCCAUCAUGUACAUGGCAGCCCCAAAGCUGAGCAAGGCCAAAGACAGGGUUUUCCAACCCCCAGCCUCUUGACUGGUGACCACCACCCCUUCUUGUCACUGUCUCCCACCCACCCCAUCUUUGCUGGGAUUCCCAUCAACUCUCAGAACUGUGUGGGGUUUCCCUGGGGCCUUGUGGAAGCCAUGACUUCACAAAGACCCUACCUGUCAAUUCUUGUUUCUGGGGAGGAGGGAUCACCUGCACUGAGAAUGAGGCAGUUUGACACAGAUCACAAAAUAAAAUCAAAGUCUUUUUGAAUAGCC